AGUUUUAUAGUCAAUAAAUGAUUUAAAAUUGCAAAUUUUAAGGAAUAAAUUUUAAUUUAUUAAGGCUU
rnacentral:tRNA from 1 species